GAAGGAUUAGCGGCGAACGGGUGAGGAACACGUGAGGAAUCUGCCUUCAACACUGGGAUAACUCCGGGAAACCGGGGCUAAUACCGGAUACGAGGCCUGCAGGCAUCUGCGGGUCUGGAAAGUUUUUCGGUUGAAGAUGACCUCGCGGCCUAUCAGCUUGUUGGUGAGGUAAUGGCUCACCAAGGCGACGACGGGUAGCCGGCCUGAGAGGGCGACCGGCCACACUGGGACUGAGACACGGCCCAGACUCC
rnacentral:rRNA from 1 species